UCAGGCCUAACACAUGCAAGUCGAACGAGACCUUCGGGUCUAGUGGCGCGCGGGUGCGUAACGCGUGGGAACCUGCCCUUAGGUUCGGAAUAACUCAGAGAAAGGUGAGCUAAUACCGGAUAAUGUCUUCGGACCAAAGAUCUAUCGCCUUAGGAUGGGCCCGCGUAGGAUUAGGUAGUUGGUGGGGUAAAGGCCUACCAAGCCGACGAUCCUUAGCUGGUCUGAGAGGAUGAUCACCCACUCUGGGAUUGAGACACGGCCCAGACUCCUACGGGAGGCAGCAGUGGGGAAU
rnacentral:rRNA from 1 species